AUUCAACCAGUAUGACAAGGUCCAGGGCUGAGCAGCUGAGCAAACAAGCAAGCAAAGAAGCAAAAUGAAACCCUCACUUUUUAGAAGGGGGUAGAGAGGCAAUGCAAUGUAUAUACUUCAACGUAGUGUCAUAUUUUUUGUUCCUGAUCAGGGUCAUUUGAAGGAUUGAGUUAUCUUGGGCUAGAGAUACUUUGUUUUCUCUCCAAUCUCAACCAAAAAUGUGACAUCCUUGAGGCUGGAGAGGGUAUCUGUUCAUCUGUGUAUCCGCAGGUCUUAGCAGUGUGGGUAUUCAGUGAAUGCAUGUGGAAUGAACAAAGGAAUGAAGUGAAUGUGAGAAACAGAGUAAGGUACCCCCUUCUGUAACUGGGGUUGUUUGUGUUUAUAACUUCUUAAAAAUUUUGCAUUAAUCAGGGCCACUCCACUUAUGAAUGAAAUUGGGUGUAAUUGAGGUAUAGAACGUGGGAACAUAGGUGUAUGUGUGAUAAGAGACCAGGACUGGAGGAGGGGCUAGAGCCAAGGGAAGUUGCAAAAGGCCCAAAGUCGAAAAUAGCAGGAACCAAAUAGAAAGAGCACCCUUUUUCCCAAUGCCACUUCCCUCCCAUGACUUGAAUUUCCUGCAAUUUUCUCUUCCUCCCUCCUUCGUCCUAAUUCUCUAUCUUUGGUUAUUCAGGAGGGCCAGCACCCUGUGGCCCCAGAAGAUAAUGUGGCAACGACUUAGGACACGGAGAGAGAGCGUAGGCAGCAGUG
rnacentral:lncRNA from 1 species